AUUGAACGCUGGCGGCCUUCUUUCCACAUUCAAUUCGAACGUUAACAUGCCUUCGGGUUCUUACGAUUGGCGAACGGGUGAGUAAUGCAUCGGAACGUGCCCAGAGGUGGGGGAUAACGCAGCGAAAUCUUUGCUAAUACCGCAUGUGAUCUGAGGAUGAAAGCGGGGGACCAGGCAGCAAUGUUUGGCCUCGCGCCUUUGGAGCGGCCGAUGUCAGAUUAGGUAGUUGGUGGGGUAAAGGCCUACCAAGCCUCCUAUAUGUAGCUGGUCUGAGAGGACGAAAAGACACAAGGGGACUGAGAAACGGCCCAGACUCCGACGGGAGGCAGAAGUGGGGAAUUUUGGACAAUGGGCGCAAGCCUGAUCCAGCAAUGCCGCGUGCGGGAAGAAGGCCUUCGGGUUGUAAAAAGAUUUUGUACGGAACGAAAAGGCUCUGGCUAAUACCUGGGGCUGAUGACGGUACCGUAAGAAUAAGCAAAGGCUAACUACGGG
rnacentral:rRNA from 1 species